rnacentral:tRNA from 1 species
UAGCUCAGUGGUAGAGCAUAUGCCUAGCAUGCAUGAGAACCUAGGUUCAAUCCCUAG